rnacentral:rRNA from 1 species
UGGGGAAUUUUGGACAAUGGGCGCAAGCCUGAUCCAGCCAUGCCGCGUGCGGGAAGAAGGCCUUCGGGUUGUAAACCGCUUUUGUCAGGGAAGAAAUCUUCUGAGUUAAUACCUCGGGAGGAUGACGGUACCUGAAGAAUAAGCACCGGCUAACUACGUGCCAGCAGCCGCGGUAAUACGUAGGGUGCAAGCGUUAAUCGGAAUUACUGGGCGUAAAGCGUGCGCAGGCGGUUUUGUAAGACAGAGGUGAAAUCCCCGGGCUCAACCUGGGAACUGCCUUUGUGACUGCAAGGCUUGAGUGCGGCAGAGGGGGGAUGGAAUUCCGCGUGUAGCAGUGAAAUGCGUAGAUAUGCGGAGGAACACCGAUGGCGAAGGCAAUCCCCUGGGCCUGCACUGACGCUCAUGCACGAAAGCGUGGGGAGCAAACAGGAUUAGAUAGCCCUGGUAGUCCACGCCCUAAAACGAUGUCAACUGGUUGUUGGGAAGGUUCCUUCUCAGUAACGUAGCUAACGCGUGAAGUUGACCGCCUGGGGAGUACGGCCGCAAGGUUGAAACUCAAAGGAAUUGACGGGGUCAUAGCUGUUUCCU